rnacentral:rRNA from 1 species
CACCGCGGAUACACGGGCGGGCCCAAGUCGACAAAACUCGGCGUAAAGUGUGGUUAAUAAAAAUUUUCAACUAAAGCCAAACAACCUCAAGGCUGUAUAAAGCAUAUGAGGACUGGAAGACCCCCCACGAAAGUGGCUUUAAUAACUAUGACGCCACGAAAGCUAGGGAA